UUGAAAAGGUUGAAGAAAUGUUUAUCAGAUUUGCAUAUGGCACAAAACUAAUGUGAGUAGCUAAUGCUUGUGAGAGCGGAAACGGGAAGAAUGGAGAGAGAUAGAGAGACAAAGAGACAGACAGAGGAAUCAAAAGAUGUACACCAGGGGUGACAAACUGCUGGCCUGUGGGCCGGUUGCAUCAUGUGGAGGCUGCAUCCACCCCAACUCCGGCAAUGUGAAAAAACUCGCAAUACGUCACAACUCGUCACAUAAUGCAACAAGUUUAACACCCAUGAUGUAGACAGCCCUGAAUGAACCAAAUACAGAUUGGAAAAAAGGGGUAGAGGAAUUCUAUCUUUGAGCCUGAAAAAGCUUCAGAGCAACAGAAAAUUAAAGACUUAUUCUUAUCCAAGGAACAUAUUACAGAAAUUCACUGGACAGACAAUAUCUAAAGAGGCACCUUUUGAUAUAUCAUCAUUCUUGAAGCCUUCUACUCUGGAUGUUCACCUGAUGGAUGAAGUAAUAGAAGAUCAUGCAUGCAUGCUGGUUCUAUUUCUGUUCUCAUUUCUAUUCAACCUUCAUGCAUUUAGGUGAGAUGUACAUUGAGCUUCUUCAGAGCUUCAGUUCAACAUAUAGGGUCAAGAAAAUGGAGGGACAUCUGGAUCUACAAUAUCAUCUUUAGCCCUCCCCAACACUAUACAUCCAAAUAGCCCUCCCCAACAUCAUACAUUCAACUAUACCAUGUUAUAGUUCAUGAAUCAUAAGCUUACUCCUUGAAAUAUUGCCUAGGAAAAUUUUGCUAUUCAUAGUUGUAGUAUACAAUUCAGUAUUUCAUCCUCUAUAAUUUUUUUUACAGCAACUCUGUCUAUUCAUAUGUGUUUAAAUUAAUCUGUUUUAUCUGAUGACCUCCUAGCAUGAGCUGGAUGUAUCAUUAUGUACUACAGUUUUUGUUCCGGAAAAUGUCAAAGUUUGAUUUAUCUAUUCUGCUUUGCUUUAAUUGUUCUAAAUUGUUGUAUGUGACUAGUCCUUUGUCCUCUUAUGAAUCAUAGAGCAAACUAGCAGCACAGAUUAGAAUAACUUUGUCUGAAAUACUUUAGUAAUUUCAGUGGAAUAAAAGGUAUGCAUGACACAUACAUCCAAUGUAACCUUCAAAGCAGCAAAUCAUUAAAAUAUAAAAGUCAGAUAGUGUUAGGAUUAAUUUUUUACCAGAAUCAAAGACUAAAUUAAAGACUAAAUUCCCAGUAAAGACUAAAAAUGUAAUUUUAUUCCUGUGUACAAUUUCACCAUGCAAUUGGGAAAAUCUGUUGAGCAAUGACUUCAUUAAUUCUUCUUUUGACUUAAUUUGAAAUGUCAGGAGCCUGAUCUCAACAUGUGUUACCUUGUAACAUGUUAACAAAUGUCACUAGAACCCAUGAGUGAUUUCAUAACUGUAAUACAACCUUGUCUGGAUCAUAGAACUUAAAUGCUAACAUAAUUACUAUAUUUCAGUUUCGAGUGAUAAAUUAGAACUGACAAAGUUUAGGAAAAAAAAUAAGAAACUUUGAAAUAGAAGCAUGUUUCAUCUAAUGGAUUAAUCAUUACACUCACCUGCCACCUUCUGUUUUUGUUAAUAAUUGAGAUGGAGUAAUUUCUGAAUAUGUAGACGCUGUUUCUAAGACUAAGUUGGUUAACAGAAUUCAGUUUUGUGAGGUUUAAUAUCCUAAAACUAAAUGCAGAGCAUUUAGAAAACAUUCAUUAAUUUGGAUUUCUUGCACAUUUUCAAACUUGCACAAUAAAAUAGUUAUUUGUCAAUAUAUUUACUUCUGAUAUCUGUUUAUAUUGAUCCUAAUUUGUUGCCUUUAGAAAAAGGGGAGGCAGUUCGGACUUUAUGGCCAGAAUGAAAAAAGAAAUCUUUCAAGGGACCCAGAAGCUUUUGAUAGGCUAUAUUUGAGGCAUGUUAUUGGGCUAGUUGGCUGAGAGAUAUUUCUUAGCUAGCACAUAGUUCGAAGGGGAGACAUUUACAACUGUAGCUCAUUCAUUGAUUAAGCGAUUAGCUCAUGAGCAAAAUUGUAUUUUAACUAAUAGCUCAGUUCCAGGCAGUAUUCUUUAGAAAAAAGAGAAAUAAUGAGAGUUUUUGGCCAGAGAAGGCAUACAGGACUAUUAAAUUGUAUAUGAAUGAGUUUCAAUAACAUUUCUUUGGGGUUUGAUGAAGUAGAUUUCUAAAAAAAUUAUUGCCUCAAUUUGUUCCUCUCUUCUACUUCUAAAUUUACUUCUAAAUCCUAUAUUUCUCUUAAGAUAUUAAAGUUCCUUACAUCAAUACUGAUAUUAAUAUUAAAAAUAAAUACAAUUCAAAAUGUAUUUUAUAAAAUUUACUUUGAUUCUUCUUUGCCCCUUUUUACUUAUGCUUUAAAAUUCAGUUGAAGUCUUUGUUUUUCCUUCUUCUAUUUCACUGUUUAAAAGAUAUAUAUGUAAGUAUUUAUUGUUUUUACUGUACAGAUUAAAUAUCUUUGACUCCAAAGAGACUGUUAUUAUAACUGUAGAACAGAUAGGCAGAGGACUAGCAGAGCACUUCCAUGAACUCAAACUAGGUGUUGGAAGACAUGGUGAAAACUGCUUAAUUUCACAACACAUGAACAGAUUUAACCAUAGCUUCAAUUGGGAAGCUGAGUAUUUUAGAUCAAGUCAAAUCCCAAAAUGCUGGGGAAUUCCUCGACACUUGACACUCAGGUAAAUCAGCCAUCAAUAGUCACAUAGAGAUAAACAAUUUAUACAGCAUUCAAAAGAGACUUAAAAAUUAAAAACCAUAAAAAGCAGAACACUUUCUUGCCAAAAAUCAGCACCCAUAUAAAUAGGAAUUGACACCAGGAUUAACACCAGACAAUCAAUCAGGAACCAAUACACUAAUGCAGGAAUUAUUAAUGAGAAAACAAUCUCAGCAUCAUUAACCAGGCAAAUUACUGUAUAUAAACAGACAACAAACCCCACUCCCUUCUAAUGCUGAAGAUGUUACUUAGUCUAAUAAUAAAACAACCAAGCUCAAACAGCACUAAGCACUCCACAGUUCAACCCUGUUCUCUAUAUAUUUUCUUCUAUUGGUACAGUAAUACCUUUCAGUGUUAAUAAAAUAAACAGAAACAAAAAGCCCUAUGCUCUCAUGGAAUUUUUAUCUCUGUAAAAAGCCUGAAAGUGAAAUAAACAUUAUUUUA